rnacentral:ncRNA from 1 species
AAAAAUGCAAUGAAGAGAAGAGUAAAUAACAUGUAUUUCUCACAGAGAACUCUAGUUGCUGAGAAGGAGUAGAAAUCGGUUAUUGAAGCAAGCCUCUGAGCAACGCAUCGGAACCUUUUUAAGGCGAUGGUGUGACGGGAGCUCCCGUUAUCGAGAUAGAGUAUACGCAUUCUUUGUAAUGCCGUACUUGAUAAGGUUAGUAUGGUGACAUAUUAACAAACUGAGGUGGCACCGCGAGAUACAAUCUCGCCCUCAAG